AUACGGAGGGUGCAAGCGUUACUCGGAAUCACUGGGCGUAAAGCGCGCGCAGGCGGCUAUUUAAGUUGGAUGUGAAAGCCUACGGCUCAACCGUAGAACUGCAUCCAAAACUAUUUAGCUAGAGUGUGGGAGAGGAAGAUGGAAUUAGUUGUGUAGGGGUAAAAUCCGUAGAGAUAACUAGGAAUACCAAAAGCGAAGGCAAUCUUCUGGAACACUACUGACGCUGAGGCGCGAAAGCGUGGGGAGCAAACGGGAUUAGAUACACCAGUAGUCC
rnacentral:rRNA from 1 species